AGGGGGACCUGGCUCACCUGGAUUCACAAAGAGUGCAUCAGAGUUGCCGAAAGGAAAAGUGUUCAAGGACUCUGCUUCUCCUAUGACACUGGCUUGAGACAGGAUCCACACGAUGGAAGGAGUGCACUGAUUCCCACAAGUUCUUGCACGAUGCCCCCGGACCUCCACAUGGAUGCUACUCAC